UACGUAGGGUGCGAGCGUUGUCCGGAAUUAUUGGGCGUAAAGAGCUCGUAGGCGGCUUGUCGCGUCGAAUGUGAAAACUCGGGGCUCAACUCCGAGCUUGCAUUCGAUACGGGCAGGCUAGAGUUCGGUGAGGGGAAGGCUGGAAUUCCUGGUGUAGCGGUGAAAUGCGCAGAUAUCAGGAGGAACACCGGUGGCGAAGGCGGGUCUCUGGGCCGAUACUGACGCUGAGGAGCGAAAGCGUGGGGAGCGAACAGG
rnacentral:rRNA from 1 species